UACGAAGGGGGCGAGCGUUGUUCGGAUUUACUGGGCGUAAAGGGCGCGCAGGCGGCGAUUUUUGUCAGGCGUGAAAGCCCCGGGCUCAACCUGGGAACUGCGUUUGAUACGGGAUUGCUAGAGAUCGGGAGAGGAGAGUGGAAUUCCCAGUGUAGAGGUGAAAUUCGUAGAUAUUGGGAAGAACACCAGUGGCGAAGGCGGCUCUCUGGACCGAUACUGACGCUGAGGCGCGAAAGCUGGGGGAGCGAACGGG
rnacentral:rRNA from 1 species